CAUAACCGGAGCAUCGCGUAAGGCGUGAACAUAUUUCACUCAAAAUGUCAUCAAUGUUAUCAUACAUAUGAGAGUGAAUUCACAAUGAUGAACAUAUUUAAGGAAGGAACACGCGGUAGAUUGCAUUCAAUUUCGAUAUGUCAAAUACACAGUUACAUCCAGUGGUGGAAGAUACCUGUGUGUUGGUGGAUUUAUGAGUGAAGCGAAAUUGGAUAUCCUGGAAGUGCACAGAAAAGAAGUGUAAUUUCACUUCGUCAACUGUCAAUGACAUUGUGACGAUGGUGAAAGGUGACCAUGCUCAUCCCCGUGUCCAAGUAGACAUAAAGAUGAACCAGUUUGCAAAUGGUGCAUCUCACCUACUUCAUGUUGGAUGAUUUUGUAUACGAAAUAAAAUGGACGAAUUAUA
rnacentral:lncRNA from 1 species